rnacentral:rRNA from 1 species
GAUGAAUGCUGGCGGCGUGCCUAACACAUGCAAGUCGAGCGGCAGCGAGGGGUGCUUGCACCCUGUCGGCGAGCGGCGAACGGCUGAGUAACGCGUAGGAAUUUGCCCCAAAGUGAGGAAUAACUGCCCGAAAGGGUAGCUAAUGCCGCAUAUGGUCUUCGGAUUAAAGGAUUUAUCCGCUUUGGGAGAAGCCUGCGUUGGAUUAGGUUGUUGGUAGGGUAAUGGCCUACCAAGCCGAUGAUCCAUAGCUGGUCUGAGAGGAUGAUCAGCCAGACUGGAACUGAGACACGGUCCAGACUCCUACGGGAGGCAGCAGUGAGGAAUCUUCCACAAUGGGCGAAAGCCUGAUGGAGCAACGCCGCGUGAAGGAUGAAGGCCUUCGGGUUGUAAACUUCUUUUAUGAGUGAAGAAUAUGACGGUAACUCGUGAAUAAGCACCGGCUAACUACGUG